rfam:Capsella rubella cultivar Monte Gargano unplaced genomic scaffold scaffold_7, whole genome shotgun sequence.
GAGCUGAUGAUGAUAAAAAACAAAUAUCUUAGCGGAUUUCAGUGAGAUUCUUUGAAUCAAUGAUCUGACUUUGUUACACACACUGAAGCUU